rnacentral:lncRNA from 1 species
GGCAGGAAGAGUACACAGGUCAAUGACUGGUUGCUCCAUUGUUGGUGACACUGAAUUUGGUCACUUGAUUAAGAGAGUUACUGCCAGAUUUCUUCAUUGUAAGGGUAAACUUUCUGUUUAUGAUUGAUAAGCUAUCUGUGGAGUGAUACUUUGAGUCCAGGGUUUUAGCAUUUGUUGAUAAUCCUUGCUUGAAUUAAUUACUACAGUGGUGAAUACAAAAAUCUCAUUGUCUCCCUAUGCUGCCUGUAGACAUGGAGUUCUGUUCCUAAAGCUGUACUUCCAGUAUUCUGAAACCAGUGUGUCUAGUGUGCUCCACUGUGGAUACCAUGAUGCAGUGGUGGAAAGAAUAAGAGAUGAACCUUUGUGGAAAUAUCUCUCCAGAAACAUUCAUUUUUGUGAUGAAAGGCUAUCACCAUAGAAUUUCCAUCACCCAGUGAACCUGCAUACAUAAUAGCCAGAGGUAGAGACUCAUUAUUUUCUUUUCUGCUCUUUGAUCCACUCUAGAAAUUUUGGAAAGUUUAAAUAAUAUGGAAUCAUAUGAAUAUUAUUUAAAUUUAAAUGUUUGUAUUUCUGGGAAGUUUGGGUAAUAUUCAUUUGUGUUCAUUUUGUUAGCAAAGCCAAGAUUUUGUUGAUACAGACAUGUAUUAUGUAAUCUUGAAGGUCUUUUCCCACAAUGUCUCGAGUUAACAAAGUUAAACUGAUGCACAAGUUUAUUAUCUUAUUAUUGUAUA